AUGUAACAGCAGAUUUUUUUGGAUAACUCGGUUAAUCAUCCUAACCAAGAUCGAUUGUUGGAUUACAAAAAUUAUUUUUAUUCUGAGUUUUAUUCUUAGAUUCUAUCUGAAGCGUUUGCGAUCGUUGUGGAAAUCCCAUUCUCGCUACGGGAAUUAUUUUGUCCGAAAGAAAAAGAAAUACCAAAAUUUUAGAAUUUACGCUCUAUUCAUUCAACAUUUCCCUUUUUAGAAGACAAAUUUUUGCAUUUGGAUUAUCUAUCACAUAUAUAA
rnacentral:rRNA from 1 species